rnacentral:rRNA from 1 species
GUCUACUUUCAUACCACCCUGAACAUGUCCUAUUUUGUCUGAUUUGGAAGCUAAGCAGCAUCGGCCUGGUUAGUACUUGGAUGGGAGACAACCUGGGAAUACUGGGUGCUGUAGGCU